GGCUUACCAUGCAGUCGAGGGGUAACAGAUCUUCGGAUGCUGACGACCGGCGAACGGGUGAGUAACACGUAUGCAACUUACCCAUAACUCGGGAAUAGCCCAAAGAAAUUUGGAUUAAUACCCAAUAAUACAGGCGUACCGCAUGGUAUUCUUCGUUAAAGAAUAAUCGGUUAUGGAUAGGCAUGCGUUCUAUUAGGUAGUUGGUGAGGUAACGGCUCACCAAGCCGACGAUGGAUAGGGGAACUGAGAGGUUGUCCCCCCACACUGGUACUGAGACACGGACCAGACUCCUACGGGAGGCAGCAGUGAGGAAUAUUGGUCAAUGGACGAAAGUCCGAACCAGCCAAAUCGCGUGAAGGAAGAAGGUAUUAUGUAUCGUAAACUUCUUUUGUAAGAGAGUAAAGUGCACUACGUGUAGUGUAUUGCAAGUACCUUACGAAUAAGCAUCGGCUAAUUCCGUGCCAGCAGCCGCGGUAAUACGGAAGAUGCAAGUGUUAUCCGGAUUUAUUGGGUUUAAAGGGUGCGUAGGUGGUCUAAUAAGUCAGUGGUGAAAUCUCUUUGCUUAACAAGGAAAUUGCCAUUGAAACUGUUAGACUUGAGAAUGGACGAGGUAGGCGGAAUUCGUAGUGUAGCGGUGAAAUGCAUAGAUAUUACGAAGAACUCCAAUAGUGUAGACUGCUUACCAGACCAUAUCUGACACUAAGGCACGAAAGUGUGGGUAUCAAACAGGAUUAGAUACCCUGGUAGUCCACACAGUAAACGAUGAAUACUAACUGUUUGCGAUAUACAGCAAGUGGUCGAGCGAAAGCGUUAAGUAUUCCACCUGGGAAGUAUGCCGGCAACGGUGAAACUCAAAGGAAUUGACGGGGGCCCGCACAAGCGGAGGAACAUGUGGUUUAAUUCGAUAAUACGCGAGGAACCUUACCCGGGCUCGAACGAUAUUUGAAUACAUCCGAAAAGAUGUAGCUAGCAUAGCA
rnacentral:rRNA from 1 species